rnacentral:misc_RNA from 1 species
AACGAGGCCGACCUGCGGCUGAGUUACCUGCGGAAGGAUCAUUACAACUUCAGGCCCCCUCGGGGGCCGCCUGUUCUUCAGGUGUUCUUGUUCUUUGUACCAUUGUUGCCUCGGCGGGCUUGCCCGCCGGCAGAGGCCCCCUAUAAACCCUUUGUGUGAGCAGUAUCAGUCUGAAAACAAAAACAAUAAUCAAAACUUUUAACAACGGAUCU